rnacentral:rRNA from 1 species
UACGGAGGGAGCUAGCGUUGUUCGGAAAUACUGGGCGUAAAGCGCACGUAGGCGGCGCAGCAAGUCAGGGUGAAAUCCCGGGGCUCAACCUCGGAACUGCCUCUGAAACUGCAGUGCUAGAAUCUUGGAGAGGCGAGUGGAAUUCCGAGUGUAGAGGUGAAAUUCGUAGAUAUUCGGAAGAACACCAGUGGCGAAGGCGACUCGCUGGACAAGUAUUGACGCUGAGGUGCGAAAGCGUGGGAGCAAACAGG